rnacentral:lncRNA from 1 species
AUUUUUAAAAUGCUUAAAUUUUGGUCGAGAAUCAUUACGGGUGUAAAUAGAUGACGAGUACACUCGACAUCUCUAAAAACAGUGCAAUUGACAUGAUACAUCUUAUCUCAUCUGGGAUUUUCAAGCUUGACAAGAUCUAACUCUUAUUCAAACGUUUCAUUUAUACUCAUUAAUCCGGUGCUUUCUUGGUUGAUACAACUAAACCUAAAAAUUUCGAAUUUAACUUGGAUCUAUAAAGUUUCAUCUAAAAUGAGUAAAAAGUGAUGAAAACGAGUGAAAAAUCUGGAAGAUGGUGGAGGCGGCCAUCUUUUAAUUGCAGGUAGGUUACAGGAAAGGAGAUGAUGAUGAAAUCACAAAUUUACCCCUCAUAAAAAAAAAAAAAAAGAAAACCACAAUAGAAUAUUAACUGGUUGAACCCGGGUUUAUUGAACUAAAACAAAACCACUAACCAUCUGAGCUGUAAGGCUUAACAUUCAUCCUCAAAACCUUAUAAUUUAGCAAUACACAAACACGUAAAAGCUCAAAACCUAGACCCGAUUAAUCUCAUGUUUUCAAUUAACUAGUUACCUAUGCCGACCGACCGAAUCACGCAUAAUAAAAAAAAAUUACUCUUACACACCCAAUUAAAUUAUUUGAAAAUCAUGCAUGUUUUUCAGUCACUAACAUUUAACUAGGCAUGGACAAUCAUUUUCCGGAUACGAUUCGAGUCGGUUUCUUUCGAGUUUGAGUCCUUUGGAUCUUAAACAUUUGAAUCCAACUACAUAUUUUUUUCGAUUCAGGGUCGGAUCAAUUCCUUUGGGUCCAG